rnacentral:lncRNA from 1 species
AGCUCUGCGUGGAGAAACUACAGUGAUUCCUGCGUGGAUGCCUGCGGGGAUUCCUGCGUGGAUUGGGGAAGUCCUGCAGCAUUACAGAAUUGUUACCCAACGCCAGGGCCUUGGUCCAGAGUCCUGUUGCUAGAUGCACAGAAAGCAAAUCACUGAGAUGUAAGUAUUGCCAGGGAAGAAGGCUUUAUUCAGGUGACAUCAGCCAGAGAGACAGGAGACGAAACUCAGGUCCACCCCUGUCCCUCUUCCCGACUAAAGUUGUAGGUUGAUAUAGUCUAAAAAGAAAGCAGGAGCCAAGGAAGAGGAGGUGGCCCGCAGGCCGCAGGAGCAGCCUCUCAUUGUCCAAAUGUAGGUUUCUCAAGCAUCCGGCUUGUUAGGAAAUUGGGCCAGUUUCAGAAUCAUCAGCUUGUUCAAAAGUGGGACUUGGGAGGUGAGAAGGGUUGUCAGGCAGGAAACCCUGCAUUCUGCUUUGGCUGAGUGGAUGGGGCCCAGGAGGAUGAGCAGCAUGGGGAAGAGUAUGACUCGUAGUGGGCACCAUGAGGAUAAAGAGUUACAAGCUCCUCUGGCAUGGGCUGGAGGGAAGGGAGACCCUAUCGCAUAACCACAGCCCCACCUGCCUGGAGAGAAGAGGGAGGCGGCCCCGCUCCGUGCCACCCCACUGAGAAAGAUAGGACACCUGGAGCUCCAGCUCAGCAAUCCCUCAAUCCCUCAAUCCUUCAUUUCAUCCUUGCAACAGUCCCAGGAGGUUUUUUUUUUUUUUUUUUUUAAGGCAGAGCCUCCUUCUGUCACCCAGGCCGGAGUUCAGUGACGCAAUCUCAGCUCACGGCAACCUCCACCUCCCGGGUUCAAGCGAUUCUCCUGCCUUAGCCUCCUGAGUAGCUGGGAUUACAGGCAUGCGCCACCACGCCAGGCUAAUUUUUGUAUUUUUAGUAGAGACGGGGUUUCGCCAUGUUAGCCAGGCUGAUCUUGAACUCCUGAUUUCAGGUGAUCCGCCUGCCUCGGCCUCCCAAAGUGCUGGGAUUACAGGUGUGAGCCGCCUCACCCAGCCAGGAGGUAUCAAUGGUUAAUUCUCUCCACUGAACAAAUGGAAAAACUGAGACUCAGAGAGGGCAGGAAUGGCCUUGGAUGCAGUGAUUCCAUGGUGUGGCCUGAGUCAGAUGCCAGGGCCCCUCGGACGCCCGCUCCACAGGAGAGGGGUGACUCAGAGGUGCCGUGUCUGUCCUCUUCUCCUGAAUAUGGGUGGUUGGUGCGGGGGCAGGGGGUGAGUCACUGCACUGUUUCCCAUGCCUCCCACCUCGGCUCUCAUGGUUGGGAGCGGCUGAGGGAGGAGGCUGAGGCAGGGAGAGGGAAGACCCAGGAGGGAGGAGGCAGGCGCUGCUUUGAGGGGUGCCCUGGAGCCUUGGCAAUCCUUUUCCUCCUCGGGCCCGGGAGCCCAGGCCCCGUCUCCACCAGCCGCAGGCGACAGCUGUCAUGGUGGUCUACAGCCUGGGCCUGGGGAAGGGCUCAGAGCAGUGUGCAGCUGCAGCCUUGGGCCUCCAUGGCCACCAGCAGCAUCCUCAGGCGGCGCGGCGAUUGCGGCGGGUAGCGGAGGGCGUUGAGCUUCUCCAUCCCCGGGCUGCGCAGGAGGCAGGCGCGAUGGUGGGAGAAGGUGUCGAAGGAGAACUUGCCAUGGUACCGGCCCAUCCCACUGGCACCUGUACAGUGGCACAGAACACAGGUGGUCAGGCGCUGGGGGUCUCCUAGUCACAGACAGUGGGGCCUAGGCGGGCUACUUCUCCCCUCUGAGCCUCAGUUUCCCCAUCUGUCCAGUGGGCUGAUCAUGAGGCACU